UAGAUACCCUAGUAUAAAAGUUAAUAUAGGAUAAUUAUAUGCUGAAAAUUAAUAAGUUUGGUGGUUAAUUUUUGUUUAGAGGAGCUUGUUUAUGUAAUUGAGAAGUUACUCUUUGUAUUUAAGAUAUAUUUAUUGUUUAUUCAUCUCCGUUAUUAAAAUAUUUAUUAGAACUUUAAUAUGGUUAGUUUUCAGGUCAAGAUGUAGCUAAUAUAUAAAUUAUUAAAUUAGCUACAUUUAUAAAAUAAUAAAAUGAAUUUAAAUAUGGAAUAGAUUUAGUAAAAUUGAAUUUAGUUGUAAUAUUACUUAAAAAAGUAGCAUGAAAUUAAUUAAUUAAUAUAUAUAUUGCCCGUCACUUCUAAUAAUGUUUAGAAUAAGUCGUAACAAAGUA
rnacentral:rRNA from 1 species